rnacentral:rRNA from 1 species
AGUGAACGCUGGCGGUAGGCCUAACACAUGCAAGUCGAACGGCAGCACAGUAAGAGCUUGCUCUUACGGGUGGCGAGUGGCGGACGGGUGAGGAAUACAUCGGAAUCUACUUUUUCGUGGGGGAUAACGUAGGGAAACUUACGCUAAUACCGCAUACGACCUACGGGUGAAAGCAGUGGAUCUUCGGACCUUGCGCGAUUGAAUGAGCCGAUGUCGGAUUAGCUAGUUGGCGGGGUAAAGGCCCACCAAGGCGACGAUCCGUAGCUGGUCUGAGAGGAUGAUGAGCCACACAGGAAGUGAGACACGACACAGACACCGACGGGAGGCAGCAGUGGGGAAGAUUGGACAAAGGGCGCAAGCCUGAACCAGCCAUGCCGCGUGGGUGAAGAAGGCCUGCGGGUUGUAAAGCCCUUUUGUUGGGAAAGAAAAGCAGCAGGUUAAUACCCCGCUGUUCUGACGGUACCCAAAGAAUAAGCACCGGCUAACUUCGU